GGCACUGUAGCUCAGUUGGUAGAGCACAUGCUUAACAUCUGACUGGUUGAUUCGCAUGUUGUCGUCGGUUCGAGCCCGGCCAGAGUCA
rnacentral:tRNA from 1 species